CUCCAGAGACGCAAGAUCAAGUGCUACUUCCUGUCGGCUGGAGUCACCGUCCUGCUGGUCAUCAUCCUCAUCACCGCCACCUCUAUCCGAAAGUAAUGCCGCCAACGGUUGAUGCUGCCACCUGGCCUGCAUGGACCCCGGAGAGUUUCCCACCGGCCUGCCUCCCACCAGUGUGCUGACCCCGCCACCGUGACACCGACCUCUGGCUGGGCCUGCCCUAAUAAACUCCCCACUUUGCUGGCCACA